ensembl:lncRNA
GCAAACACUGCUCCUUAACAGUAGAACAGGCACCAGGACCACCAAACUUUUUGCAUUUGCAGUGCAGGGGAUCAGCUACCAGCAAGGUUAGGUUGUGCUGGGUGAGGAUGUCUUUGAGCUCCUUCUUGGAAGCCUCAUCCAUGUAUUUCUGAUAGUAGGCCACCGGGGCUUUGGAGAGGGACUAGCAGAUUGCCUAAAUCUGGGCCACAUGACCACUACACGGACUUGGACGUCCACCCAGGCAAAUCGCUCCUUGUCCGGAAGCAGAACAGGUUGCCGCAGCUUGUGCUACAGUGUGCGUGGCUUGAUCAUCUCCAGGGGCCACCCAUUCACCUUGAUGAGACUGGUUCCCCCUUUGCUGUGCACCACGGUCAUGGCCGUCUUCUUGCGUCCAAAGACCUGCAUGGACCACGGAGGAGCCUUGUACAGCAUGGCUGUGAACGUUGAUUAUUUUCAUACUUUAGAUCCUUCCCUCAGCAAGGGCAUUUCUCUGGUUUUUAGGAAGACAAGAUAAUUCCCUCCUUGGAGGCUGGGAUUCUGGGGCCAAAGUCCUCAGCUCUCCCAGGCUGGCAGGGAAUGCAGGGUCAGAGGAUAAACAGCUACUCCUUCCCAAUGCAUGGAGGGGCGCUACUUGGGGGACCGAAUUCUGUGGGAUCUGGCCAUGGUUGGUGGAGAGUUAAUUAAUGUCCACAGGGCGAGUUAGCAGAAAUAACAACUGCUUUGAUUAAGGGAGAGAGAGGGCUAUGAGCUUUGAUUUCAGCAAAAUGGACAAAGCUGGGAUAGCAAAUCAUCCAUUGGGUUUUCUUUGCUGGGCCCACUGUCCUGGCUUUCAUCUGUCCUGACUGCUGACCCCUCUGGCUUCCCCUAGGAAAUGAGUCCCCCUGCCCUGUUGUGCAUUACAAGGACCCUGGGUUUUGUUGUUGUUGCAGAUGAGAGGAUCAGUACUGCUGUGGGCUCUGUGAGUGUGGAUUUGGAGAGGGACCCAAGAUGCCUGCGAAGAGGCAAUGAUGGCAGAGCUGAUGAAGCUCCUACAGUCAGGAGAGAGACACAUGACAUACCUCGGGCACUUAGUGUGGCUCACCCUCCAGAGCACUCAACUGAUGUCCCACCUGUUCUGGGAAGACCCUACUCGGGCCCAGCCUCUAGCAGGUCCUGCCCACAGCUGGCCUGCUGGUCCUUCAUAUAAAGGGGAGCCAUGUUCUGCACCUGGAGCCAGAGUGAAUCAGUGAGUGAGGAGGAUUGUUCCAGAAGGAUCCGGAUGAGGACCCCUGCCUCCUCUUUGUUGUCUCCACCUCGAUGCCAUGUGCUGGUUCUGAUGACUUUGGCUGUGCACCUGAAUUCUUGUUCUGGCAGCGGGCUCAAAGCCCUGUCCUGUGUGCCCACCAAUCUCCAUUCUGGGAUUCAGUCAAAUUCCAGUCCUUAAACGUGAGCCUUCCAAGGAUUACUCUAAGUCUUCUUGGAACUCACCCCAGACUGAGACUGGAGAGAGUGGUGUCCCCUGGUACCUGCUUGUUCACCAGACUGAGCCUCAAAAGUCAUUGCCCUCAGCCGGGUCAGUUCCUGCAGCACCUAGGCCACCCCAGGGGCAGGUAAGUGCUGACCCCCAGUCCCUUCCUACCUUCCCCCUCCUGCUCUCAGGGAUUCACACUACUCUGCAAAUCCUGACUGCUGCUGAGGCCUGACUGCUGUCCUUAGGGCUUCCUCCGUGGCAUCCUUUUGCUUCUCAAGUGAUGAGUACAGGAAGCCAAGUUAUCCUUGACAUAGAUGUCCUCAUCCCUCAACUUCCACACAUUGUUCCUUGGGAUCAGAGACCCUUGUGUGUGUGAGUUCCCUGCCUCAUGCCCAGCGGGCACAAAACAAACAUGUUCCAGCAGCGCAAAUGCUGAAAUCCUCGGAGGUCCUCGCUGAUGUCUUACCUAAACUCGUCCUGUUGUGACGAUCCAUGCCACUCUCUAUCUUCACCUCCCACCUGUCCUUUUCUUUCUUUCUUGGGGGUUCCUCUUCCCUUCCCUGCAGUCAUUCCCAGUGAAAUGUUUGUGGGUUAGAUGUAGAAUUCUGUGGGGGCAGGGGUGGUGGUUUGUUCAUGUCUGUGUCCCAACGUCUGCAUGGAAGCUGUCAUACAGUAGGUAAGGUAGCCAGAAAAUAGUUGACCUCCGUAACCAUGUCUUGAGCCCCUACUGUGUGCAAAGCAUGUACCUAAGUAGUUUGGUUCCAGAAAGAAAAUAAAACCAAACAGGGUAUCUGACCUUCA